UGUAUCUGAAGUCUGACGAGGAUGAGAACCUCCGGGGGCAAGAGGUUCGACUCGAGCGAAGCGAGAGAACGUUGCGUCAGCAACGGCCCGCAGGGCGAGCCACGCAGUGGCGAGUCAUCCUCUAUCACCGACAA
rnacentral:sRNA from 1 species